AUUGAACGCUGGCGGCAGGCCUAACACAUGCAAGUCGAGCGAGCGGCGGACGGGUGAGUAAUGUCUGGGAAACUGCCUGAUGGAGGGGGAUAACUACUGGAAACGGUAGCUAAUACCGCAUACCAUCAGAUGUGCCCAGAUGGGAUUGGCUAGUAGGGGGGGUAACGGCUCACCUAGGCGACGAUCCCUAGCUGUUCUGAGAGGAGGACAAGCCACACUGGAACUGAGACACGGUUCAGACUCAUAGGGGAGGCAGCAGUGGGGAAUAUUGCACAAUGGGGGCAAGCCUGAUGCAGCCAUGCCGCGUGUGUGAAGAAGGCCUUCGGGUGGUAAAGCACUUUCAGCGGGGAGGCGUUACCCGCAGAAGAAGCACCGGCUAACUCCGUGCCAGCAGCCGCGGUAAUUC
rnacentral:rRNA from 1 species